rnacentral:rRNA from 1 species
UACGUAGGGGGCGAGCGUUAUCCGGAAUUACUGGGUGUAAAGGGGGCGCAGACGGCGAUGCAAGCCAGGAGUGAAAGCCCGGGGCCCAACCCCGGGACUGCUCUUGGAACUGCGUGGCUGGAGUGCAGGAGGGGCAGGCGGAAUUCCUGGUGUAGCGGUGAAAUGCGUAGAUAUCAGGAGGAACACCGGUGGCGAAGGCGGCCUGCUGGACUGCAACUGACGUUGAGGCCCGAAAGCGUGGGGAGCAAACAGG